rnacentral:rRNA from 1 species
ACGACUCUCGGCAACGGAUAUCUCGGCUCUCGCAUCGAUGAAGAACGUAGCGAAAUGCGAUACUUGGUGUGAAUUGCAGAAUCCCGUGAACCAUCGAGUCUUUGAACGCAAGUUGCGCCCCAAGCCUUUAGGCCGAGGGCACGUCUGCCUGGGUGUCACAAAUCGUCGUCCCCAUCCUUUGCGGAGAA